rnacentral:lncRNA from 1 species
CUCUUUAGCUAAACAGUUCCAGAACUCCACCGAUUCUAGACCAGCGUGAUGCCCAAUUGUGGUUCCAAAACCUAGAGUUCCUAAGAUUCUGAUAAAGUGAUAAAAUGUAAGACGAAGCCUCUGAGCUGUGACCACCAGCCAUCCAUAACACGCAACAGCAGAUUCUGCAAUUAGAAAGGUCUCAUUUGUGUCUCAAUCUAAAGAUCCGAGUCUGAGAUAUGUGAUAAAAGGAGAUGAUUUGAUAAAGGAAGGAUGUAUAAUGAUUCUUACAGCUUCUAGAAAAGGACCAUGUCUUGUCUUUCUGAUUUGUUAUGUGUAUUCGCAGAGCUCAACAUAUAGAUGGACUGCUCUGUUCUUGGUCUUGUUCUUCUUGAUCUUAUCUUCCACUAUAGCUCCUUUUUAAUUAAUCUGAGA